UACGAAGGGGGCAAGCGUUACUCGGAAUUACUGGGCGUAAAGCGUGCGUAGGCGGCUUGGUAAGUUGGAAGUGAAAGCCUAGGGCUCAACCUUAGAAUUGCUUUCAAAACUGCCUGGCUAGAGUACUAGAGAGGAUAGCGGAAUUCCUAGUGUAGAGGUGAAAUUCGUAGAUAUUAGGAGGAACACCGGAAGCGAAAGCGGCUAUCUGGCUAGACACUGACGCUGUUGCACGAAAGCGUGGGGAGCAAACAGG
rnacentral:rRNA from 2 species